GCAUCUUCGGAUGUGUAUAAAGUGGCGAACGGCUGAGUAACACGUGGGCAACCUGCCCUUUGCACUGGGAUAGCCUCGGGAAACCGAGGUUAAUACCGGAUACUCCAUAUUUGUCGCAUGGCGAAUAUGGGAAAGCUCCGGCGGCAAAGGAUGGGCCCGCGGCCUGUUAGCUAGUUGGUGGGGUAGUGGCCUACCAAGGCAAUGAUGGGUAGCCGGGUUGAGAGACCGACCGGCCAGAUUGGGACUGAGACACGGCCCAGACUCCUACGGGAGGCAGCAGUGGGGAAUCUUGCACAAUGGGCGAAAGCCUGAUGCAGCGACGCCGCGUGCGGGAUGAAGGCCUUCGGGUUGUAAACCGCUUUCAGCAGGGACGAGGCCGCAAGGUGACGGUACCUGCAGAAGAAGCCCCGGCUAACUACGUGCCAGCAGCCGCGGUAAUACGUAGGGGGCAAGCGUUAUCCGGAUUCAUUGGGCGUAAAGCGCGCGUAGGCGGUCUGUUAGGUCAGGAGUUAAAUCUGGGGGCUCAACCCCUAUCCGCUCCUGAUACCGGCAGGCUUGAGUCUGGUAGGGGAAGAUGGAAUUCCAAGUGUAGCGGUGAAAUGCGCAGAUAUUUGGAAGAACACCGGUGGCGAAGGCGGUCUUCUGGGCCAUGACUGACGCUGAGGCGCGAAAGCUAGGGGAGCGAACAGGAUUAGAUACCCUGGUAGUCCUAGCUGUAAACGAUGGACACUAGGUGUGGGGAGAUUAUACUUUCCGUGCCGCAGCUAACGCAUUAAGUGUCCCGCCUGG
rnacentral:rRNA from 1 species